ACAAUGGCCUCUGCUGACAAGAAUGGCGGGAGCGUGUCCUCUGUGUCCAGCAGCCGCCUGCAGAGCCGGAAGCCACCCAACCUCUCCAUCACCAUCCCGCCACCCGAGAAAGAGACCCAGGCCCCUGGCGAGCAGGACAGCAUGCUGCCUGAGAGGAAGAACCCAGCCUACUUGAAGAGCGUCAGCCUCCAGGAGCCACGCAGCCGAUGGCAGGAGAGUUCAGAGAAGCGCCCCGGCUUCCGCCGCCAGGCCUCACUGUCCCAGAGCAUCCGCAAGGGCGCAGCCCAGUGGUUUGGAGUCAGCGGCGACUGGGAGGGGCAGCGGCAGCACUGGCAGCGCCGCAGCCUGCACCACUGCAGCGUGCGCUACGGCCGCCUGAAGGCCUCGUGCCAGCGUGACCUGGAGCUCCCUAGCCAGGAGGCACUGUCCUUCCAGGGCACUGAGUCCCCAAAGCCCUGCAAGAUGCCCAAGGUGGGAUCCAUGGGGAAAGGAGGCAGGGGUGGGGACCCUAAUGGCUCUGCUUACCGCCCCCCUCCCUUCCAGAUUGUGGAUCCGCUGGCCCGGGGCCGGGCCUUCCGCCACCCGGAGGAGAUGGACAGGCCCCACGCCCCGCACCCACCGCUGACCCCCGGAGUCCUGUCCCUCACCUCCUUCACCAGUGUCCGUUCUGGCUACUCCCACCUGCCACACCGCAAGAGAAUGUCUGUGGCCCACAUGAGCUUGCAAGCUGCCGCUGCCCUCCUCAAGGGGCGCUCGGUGCUGGAUGCCACCGGACAGCGGUGCCGGGUGGUCAAGCGCAGCUUUGCCUUCCCGAGCUUCCUGGAGGAGGAUGUGGUCGAUGGGGCAGACACGUUUGACUCCUCGUUUUUCAGUAAGGAAGAAAUGAGCUCCAUGCCUGAUGAUGUCUUUGAGUCCCCCCCACUCUCUGCCAGCUACUUCCGAGGGAUCCCACACUCAGCCUCCCCUGUCUCCCCCGAUGGGGUGCAAAUCCCUCUGAAGGAGUAUGGCCGAGCCCCAGUCCCCGGGCCCCGGCGCGGCAAGCGCAUCGCCUCCAAGGUGAAGCACUUUGCCUUUGAUCGGAAGAAGCGGCACUACGGCCUCGGCGUGGUGGGCAACUGGCUGAACCGCAGCUACCGCCGCAGCAUCAGCAGCACUGUGCAGCGGCAGCUGGAGAGCUUCGACAGCCACCGGUGAGGUGUCGCCCUGGAGCCCCCAGGAGAGCCUGGAAGGUUCCAAAUUCCUCUGGGCCCUCCUGAAGCACCCCCUUACUCAUUCAGCAAGUGUUUCAUGAGCAUCUUCUGCGGAUCAGGAGUGUAGUGACAAGCUCGAAGGCGCACCCUGUCCCAAGGGUUGUGCACAUGACCUGGGAAGGGCCAGGGGUGCUUGCUGCCUCUCUUCCACCCCAUGCUUUCUGAGCCUGGUCCCCAGCCUUGCUCCCAGACAGCAGUCAGUCAACAAAUGUUCAUUGAGUGUCACUGCCUGCAGGCCCUAAAAUGGAACCCCCAGAGGGUGGAGCAGGGAGGGCAGGGUCGGUCAGAGGACAGUUAGAAGCUGGGGCCAGGGCUGGGCGCCGUGGCUCACACUUGUAAUUAUAGCACUUUGGGAGGCUGAGUCAGAAGGAUUGCUUGAGCCUAGGAGUUUGAGACCAGCCUGGGCAACAUAGUGAGACCCUACCUCUACUUUAAAAGAAGAAGCUGGGGCUGGGAGGGAGGGGACUCUGGGAGAGGCUAUGCAGAGCCCUUGGGGAAGAACAGGGCAUCUGAUUUGCAGCAGCCCAAUAAACACUGGGCCCAAAUUAGAAAAUAACAAGCAGGCAGGGCGCGGUGGCUCACGCCUGUAAUUCCAGCACUUUCUGAGGCCGAGGCAGGCGGAUCACCUGAGGUCAGGAGUUCAAGACCAGCCUGGCCAACAUGGUGAAACCCCAUCUCUACUAAAAAUACAAAAAAUCAGUCGGGCGUGGUGGUGCAUGCCUGUAAUCCCAGCUACUCAGGAGGCUUGAGGCAGGAGAAUCACUUGAACCUGGGAGGCAGAGGUUGCAGUGAGCCAGGAUCGCACCAUUGUACUCCAGCCUGGGCAACAAGAGCGAAAUUCCAUCUC
rnacentral:sRNA from 1 species